rnacentral:lncRNA from 14 species
CCUCCCUGCAAGCCAUUCAUUCCUGAGGCUUGUGGUUCUGGCAGAGCAAUUCUUCAUUAGUGUAUCUUCAAUACUCAGCUAUUUUACAAAUAGAAAGCACCUACCUACUGGACAGAUUUUGUGACAGCCUAGGAUUUCUAAAAAAGAGGGUCGAAACAACCUCAACUAAUGUAUUAUAUGUCUCAAAAUAUUGUCUUGUUGCUUGGCAUUUAGUAUACCUAUGGAUCUUGAACUCCAGUUCUGUUUUUGUAAUUGGACGAGGUGUUCUCUCUCCUGCAGGAUUUGUCAGGCAGUAGUAUUCUGAGUCUUUCUGGUAAAAUACAUGCAAUCUGACCAAUAAAAGGCAAGUGGGCUACUCUUCUUUGUUCUACAGUGCUCAGAGCAGAAAGAAAAUGCUGGAACCAUUUGUGAUAAAACUAGUGGUACAUGGCAGAACACUGUUUAAAUUUUCAUUAGACCUUUGAAGCCAGUGGCUUCAGCAACUUGAUAGACCACAUGAAGGAGAUAUUUUGAAAAACAGCAAGGUUCACAACCCUCAGGCUUUAUAGGUGAUCUGCUUAAGACAUGUUGACAGAUGGUUGCUUGGGAAACUGAUGAGUUAAAGUGUAUGCUGGUGUCCUAAUAGUCUUCUGAAAUACUGUGCCUCUCACAGAUCCACGGAGAGGGCACCUCCCAUUGUGUCUCCUCUGGGCAGUGCUCCUGCCCUGCUUCUCUGUUCAACACCACUGGGUUUCACCUUAUUUCCAUCUGACUGGAAGAAAUGAGCAAACUGGAAACAGGAGCCUCGGAGCAAGAUUAGUGAGCUGCUUGUGUUCUUGUCUCUCAUCAGAUAUCUUGCUCAUGGAUGUAGUAGAGAAAGUUAUUGCACUCCACAAACCUAAAAGGAAAAUCAUAGCAAGGAAACAGCUGUUAGGUAAGUCUUCAUACAAAUCACUUUAGUGGCCUGUUAGAUAAGGCUUUGAAAGAGUGAUGGAGGGAGGAAAUAACAGAAUUUUGUUCAGCA